rnacentral:rRNA from 1 species
AGUCGAGGGGCAGCGGGGGUGCAGGCUUGCCUGCACCUGCCGGCGACCGGCGCACGGGUGAGUAACACGUAUGGAACCUGCCCGUAGCAGGGGGAUAAGCGGAAGAAAUUCCGUCUAAUACCGCGUAAUAACUCCGAGAGGCAUCUCAUGGGGUUUAAAGGGUGACACCGGCUACGGAUGGCCAUGCGGCGCAUUAGCUAGUUGGCGGGGUAACGGCCCACCAAGGCGACGAUGCGUAGGGGUUCUGAGAGGAAGGUCCCCCACACUGGUACUGAGACACGGACCAGACUCCUACGGGAGGCAGCAGUGAGGAAUAUUGGUCAAUGGGCGCGAGCCUGAACCAGCCAAGUCGCGUGAGGGAAGACGGUCCUAUGGAUUGUAAACCUCUUUUGUCGGGGAGCAAAAGACGCCACGUGUGGCGUUCCGAGAGUACCCGAAGAAAAAGCAUCGGCUAACUCCGUGCCAGCAGCCGCGGUAAUACGGAGGAUGCGAGCGUUAUCCGGAUUUAUUGGGUUUAAAGGGUGCGCAGGCGGAAGAUCAAGUCAGCGGUAAAAUUGAGAGGCUCAACCUCUUCGAGCCGUUGAAACUGGUUUUCUUGAGUGAGCGAGAAGUAUGCGGAAUGCGUGGUGUAGCGGUGAAAUGCAUAGAUAUCACGCAG